rnacentral:rRNA from 1 species
UGGGGAAUAUUGGGCAAUGGGGCGAAAGCCUGACCCAGCAACGCCGCGUGAGGGAAGAAGGUUUUCGGAUUGUAAACCUCUAUCGUGGAUGACGAAGGAAGUGACGGUAGUCCACAAGGAAGCCCCGGCUAACUACGUGCCAGCAGCCGCGGUAAUACGUAGGGGGCAAGCGUUGUCCGGAAUGACUGGGCGUAAAGGGCGUGUAGGCGGCCUGAUAAGUCUGAAGUGAAAGUCCUGCUUUCAAGGUGGGAAUUGCUUUGGAUACUGUCGGGCUUGAGUGCGGAAGAGGUAAGUGGAAUUCCCAGUGUAGCGGUGAAAUGCGUAGAG